CUGUUUUUGUCAAUUGUUUUAUGUUGUAGCAUACAUGAAUGAUUUGGUACGGUUAGAGAGGGAAAGGAACAUAAGGCCGGAUCCAGAAAUUGAUGCAUUUAUGAAGAGUUUGCAAUUGGGGUGUGUAUACGCGUGUUCUGUAUGUUGUCCUGAAACAUGUGAUCAUAUUUACCUUUUUGAUAAUGACUAUGAUGAUACAAAACAUAUCUACAGGAAAUCCAUGCGUUGCAGAUUCCCAUAUGAUCAGAGAGGUCGACUUAUCUUGGAGGUAAUGCUAAUCAAAAUAUGCUACCAACCACCAGUCUCAUCUCUCUAAUUCCAGCAUGCUUUUAUAGUGUUGCCCUGGAUCACAUAUGAUGGUGGUAUGCUCUCCAUUGUUGGACGUCUUUAACUUCUUUUUCAUUUUGCUUGAUAGCCAUUUAUACCCUGGAAAGCAAUAAAUAUGCCGUGUUGCAAACAAGCACAUAAAAAAGCGUAACUUUGAUUUGGUGGUUUUUAUAAGCUCAGGAUCUUUUCUAUAUCGAAGAUUGAUUUUUCUAUCUUAACCAUUUGCUAGAUAGGAAAAUUGCCUGAGAUAGUUCCCGCUUAAAUCAUGCUCUCUCUCUCUCUCUCUCUCUCUCUCUCUCUCUCUCUCUCUCAAAUAGAGACAUGAUUCAAAAUUAACAUCACAAAUAUUGUUGAUGCCACAUCUUUUGUUGAGAAGUCAUGAAACAAAAGACAUGUUGCUAAGAUCCUGAAAGAUUGAACAAUAUUUGAACAGUCAGUGCUUGGAUAAAUAGUAGAAGACACGUGCAUGAGGUAGCACAGAGGAAAAUCCUUCCCGCUUCUUCCAUGCUCUGGCCUCUGCCGCUUCCAGCUCCGAACUCGGAUCUGAAGGCCUCAUGGGUAUUUUCUCUGAUAUUAGAGGCUAUUACUUGGUGCUCUACGCUGAAUGACCUAUUUUUGAGAAAGGCAUGGAUUACUUUCAGGCAUUUUCCAUACACAAUUGGAUCAUGAUAAUAUUUUGAGGCAAUUCAAUUUAUUCCACAUGUGAAUAGUUUUGAAUUCAAAGUUUAGUUUUUCGAUUUCAAUCUGGCAUAUGAUAUUUGAAUAGCA